rnacentral:rRNA from 1 species
AACGAACGCUGGCGGCAUGCCUAACACAUGCAAGUCGAACGAGACCUUCGGGUCUAUUGGCGCACGGGUGCGUAACGCGUGGGAACCUGCCCUUAGGUUCGGAAUAACUCCCCUAAAGGGGUGCUAAUACCGGUUAAUGUCUUCGGACCAAAGAUUUAUCGCCUUUGGAUGGGCCCGCGUUGGAUUAGCUUGUUGGUAGGGUAAAAGCCUACCAAGGCGACGAUCCAUAGCUGGUCUGAGAGGAUGAUCAGCCACACUGGGACUGAGACACGGCCCAGACUCCUACGGGAGGCAGCAGUGGGGAAUAUUGGACAAUGGGCGAAAGCCUGAUCCAGCAAUGCCGCGUGAGUGAUGAAGGCCUUAGGGUUGUAAAGCUCUUUUACCCGGGAUGAUAAUGACAGUACCGGGAGAAUAAGCUCCGGCUAACUCCGUG